rnacentral:snoRNA from 13 species
GCCCCCCUUUUCACUUUGCCAGUUGGACUUAUGUCUUUAUUGGUCAUUCAAGUGGGGCAAAGAAAAUAUCCUUUUAAAACUCAGGCAAACUGGUGUUUGUCUUGUAUCCUAUCAAAGGAAAAAAAU